rnacentral:pre_miRNA from 1 species
GAGACACCCUUAUGGGGCAGGACUUGCUUCAGUGGGGCUUUGGUGCUCACUGAGUCUGCUCCUUGAGUGUGAAUCU